rnacentral:rRNA from 1 species
GCUCAGAUUGAACGCUGGCGGCAUGCUUUACACAUGCAAGUCGAACGGCAGCACGAAAGAGCUUGCUCUUUUGGUGGCGAGUGGCGAACGGGUGAGUAAUACAUUGGAACGUACCGAGUAAUGGGGGAUAACUGUCCGAAAGGAUGGCUAAUACCGCAUACGCUCUGAGGAGGAAAGCGGGGGACCUUCGGGCCUCGCGUUAUUCGAGCGGCCAAUGUCUGAUUAGCUAGUUGGUGGGGUAAAGGCCUACCAAGGCGACGAUCAGUAGUGGGUCUGAGAGGAUGAUCCGCCACACUGGGACUGAGACACGGCCCAGACUCCUACGGGAGGCAGCAGUGGGGAAUUUUGGACAAUGGGCGAAAGCCUGAUCCAGCCAUGCCGCGUGUCUGAAGAAGG